rnacentral:lncRNA from 1 species
UACAGUAAGGCAUAUAUAAAUAAAACAGUAAACAAUAAUAAACCUGGAUUGCAAUUUAAGAACUAGAAUUGAAUCUUGAAUCUUUGAUUAAAUAAUUCCGAUAGGCUUUGGCAAUAAAUACCUCUUACAAUUGAAUCCCAAAUGAGAAAAAAUAAUAAACCGUAAUAGUCCCUGAUGUGGAGAAACUAUCACUUAUACAAUGGUAAUAAACUGCCUAGAAAACUAA